rnacentral:rRNA from 1 species
UAAGGAAUAUUGGGCAAUGGAGGCAACUCUGACCCAGCCAUGCCGCGUGAAGGAUGACUGCCCUACGGGUUGUAAACUUCUUUUGUAUGGGAAUAAACCCGGUUACGUGUAACCGGUUGAAUGUACCAUAAGAAUAAGCAUCGGCUAACUCCGUGCCAGCAGCCGCGGUAAGACGGAGGAUGCAAGCGUUAUCCGGAUUUAUUGGGUUUAAAGGGAGCGUAGGCGGGAUAAUAAGUCAGUGGUGAAAUCUUGGGGCUCAACCCCGAAACUGCCAUUGAUACUGUUAACCUAGAGUACAUUUGAUGUGGGCGGAAUGUGUCAUGUAGCGGUGAAAUGCUUAGAUAUGACACAGAACACCGAUUGCGUAGGCAGCUCACAAAACUGUAACUGACGCUGAGGCUCGAAAGCGUGGGGAUCAAACAG